UAUCCCACCAUGUAGUGUCACACGACUGUAGAUGACUCUGCAUAGGACAGCUCUAAGGAGGCCCCAGAGACUCCCAAGAGAUGACAUGAACAGCACAGGCUGGACAAGGCCAGGAACCAGAACAGGAUCUGGUUCUGAGGAAUACCUCACCAGGGGGCCAACAAUCUCUCAACCUCUCUCUCCCUCACCCCCUCAUGAGAUCAGAUGUCUCCAUGUAGCCCUGGCUAUCCUAGAACUCACUAUAUAGACCAGACCAACCUUGAACUCCCAGAGAUCUGCUCGCCCCUCCUCACUGCUUCGAUUAAGGGGCUGGCGCACUGAGAAAAGUCCAGAUGAUACUACAGCCAAUAAAGAGAGCAGACUGGAGUAAAAGAGUCAAAAAGCUGAAUUAGCUGUGAAUGCCUGGGCGACAGAACAUCCCAGGAUCGCGCUUGUGAUGGGCUCAGGAGAAGCUUUUGGUAGUUAAAUAGCCAAGUGAGAAAGGGGAGGAUACGGUGUCAAGUCACAUACAGCCUCAGGACUGGAGGAAACAGCACGGACGAAGAGCAGACUGCCUGAAUCGAAACCAACCCUCAGCUCCUCAGGCUACCUGUUCCCACCUCGCUUUCCUCUGUGGAGGAAGAAGCGUAGGUGGGCCGCUUUGAGACUGCCAGGAGGAGGCGGCUCAGUGCGAACCGCCACGCCCCUCGUGGGGCGGGGCAUGCAAAUAAUACUCGGCGUGCGCGCUCGAGAACGCCGGGAGAGCCGGGGUCGUGGACGUUGUAGCUGAAGCUGUGGGUGCUGGA
rnacentral:lncRNA from 1 species